rnacentral:lncRNA from 1 species
AGAGUCUCCUCUCUGUUGAGAGCUAAGCAGACAUCAGGACUACCAGCUGCAGAGAGGAGCUACCCACUGUGGGCUUCGUCUCUGCUGAGAGCUGAACACUCACUGGGACGCCCUGCCUAUGGAAACCAGCUGUUCACUCUGGGUCUCCUCUGAGCUGUUCUGUCGCUCAGUAAAGGUCUUCUUCUGCUUACUCGCCCUCCAUUUGUCUGCCUUACCUCAUUCAUCCUGGACACAGGACAAGAACUUGGGACUUGCCGGUAUGGUGGAGCUAAAAUAGCUGUAACACAAACAGGAUUGAAACAUGCCCCUUGCUCGCCACAUUGUGGAUGACAAGAGGGAGGGAAGAAAGGAGAGAAGAUCUGCGACCCUUCGGCAAACCCAGACUUAGGAGAUCGGAGAGCCAAGACUGUGACACCCUUUCUGGGGCUCUGUGGUUCCUGGCGUCUCCAAGCUUCUGGGCACCUCGGCUUUCCCCGGUGCCAGUCGUGGAAGCUGCUUGUGGUAAGUCUGGUCCAAUAGCCUCACAGUAAGCCAACGUCCAUGCUGGUGCCUGGGGCUUCCCACCCCACUGCAGCUGGCAUGCCUGGCUAGGCACAAUGGCUAGAUCUUGUGCUUGCUUGCUUGCUCACAUACCCAUCACCGCUCUGCACCUUACUCACCCUUACAGGCGUGAGAUUUGGGCCAGUAGUGUGAGCCAAACCCAGCCUGCCAGGCCUGGUGGGUGGAAUGAGCUCAUGGGGCCUGAGCAAAACUUGGGCAAAGGCACCGACAGCCACAGAGGUUUCCGGCUGGUGAAGUGACACAUCAAAUAUCCCGUGACAAUAUCAAUUUUCUAAACACACAUUUAUAAUGCAUAUAUAAUUGGAAAGCUGUACUGGUUCUCAAUAUAAAUCCUAAUUGGAAAACUUAGUUAUAUAAAGAAAUUCAUUGCAUUUCA